rnacentral:lncRNA from 1 species
GUAUGGGCCCCAUAACGGAAAGCGAUUGGAGGAAGAAAACGACAAAUAUAAGUUGUUUAAAAAUAACGGCGUAGUUGUUACCGUUUACACUGUUGGAAUACUCGGUGGUUAAAACACAGUAAUACGCGUUGCUGCACAGUAGCACACGGUAUUGCACCAAUUAUUGACUCUUACGUAAGAAGGCACUACUCAAUAAUGGUU